rnacentral:misc_RNA from 1 species
GAUGAAGAACGUAGCGAAAUGCGAUACGUAGUGUGAAUUGCAGAAUUCAGUGAAUCAUCGAAUCUUUGAACGCACAUUGCACCUCUCGGUAUUCCGGGAGGUAUGCCUGUUCGAGCGUCAUUUGUACCCUCAAGCUCUGCUUGGUGUUGGGUGUUUGUUCCGCCUCUGUGUGUGAACUCGCCUCAAAACAAUUGGCAGCCGGCGUACUUGUUUCGGAGCGCAGCACAUUUUGCGAUCCAGAUCAACGUACAGCGGCAUCCAAGAAGCCUUAUUUAACGCUCUUGACCUCGGAUCAGGUAGGGAUACCCGCUGAACUUAAGCAUAUCAAUAGGAGGA